rnacentral:lncRNA from 1 species
UUCCUUGCUGGGCACAAAAUUAUGAAUGCAACUCUUUUUCGUGCGUCAUAUUGUUUACUUCCAAAAUGUGAUUAAAACGAACCACAUUCAAUUCAGUAUAUUUUUGUGCAAGGCAACAAAUACUAAUGCGGCUAUGGAGGAAAAAUUCAUGUUUCUUGGGACUUAAUCGGAUAAAAACCUCCCAUACCACGCACACCACUUCCCCAUGAAACAAUGAUGGAUAAUUCCGUAUUUUCAC